AGUCGAACGGCAGCACGGGGCAACCUGGUGGCGAGUGGCGAACGGGUGAGUAAUAUAUCGGAACGUACCCUGGAGUGGGGGAUAACGUAGCGAAAGUUACGCUAAUACCGCAUACGAUCUAAGGAUGAAAGUGGGGGAUCGCAAGACCUCAUGCUCCUGGAGCGGCCGAUAUCUGAUUAGCUAGUUGGUGGGGUAAAGGCUCACCAAGGCUUCGAUCAGUAGCUGGUCUGAGAGGACGACCAGCCACACUGGAACUGAGACACGGUCCAGACUCCUACGGGAGGCAGCAGUGGGGAAUUUUGGACAAUGGGCGCAAGCCUGAUCCAGCAAUGCCGCGUGAGUGAAGAAGGCCUUCGGGUUGUAAAGCUCUUUUGUCAGGGAAGAAACGGUGAAGGCUAAUAUCCUUUGCUAAUGACGGUACCUGAAGAAUAAGCACCGGCUAACUACGUGCCAGCAGCCGCGGUAAUACGUAGGGUGCAAGCGUUAAUCGGAAUUACUGGGCGUAAAGCGUGCGCAGGCGGUUUUGUAAGUUUGUCGUGAAAGCCCCGGGCUCAACCUGGGAAUUGCGAUGAAGACUGCAAGGCUUGAAUCUGGCAGAGGGGGGUAGAAUUCCACGUGUAGCAGUGAAAUGCGUAGAGAUGUGGAGGAACACCGAUGGCGAAGGCAGCCCCCUGGGUCAAGAUUGACGCUCAUGCACGAAAGCGUGGGGAGCAAACAGGAUUAGAUACCCUGGUAGUCCACGCCCUAAACGAUGUCUACUAGUUGUCGGGUUUUAAUUAACUUGGUAACGCAGCUAACGCGUGAAGUAGACCGCCUGGGGAGUACGGUCGCAAGAUUAAAACUCAAAGGAAUUGAC
rnacentral:rRNA from 1 species